rnacentral:rRNA from 1 species
UGGGGAAUAUUGGGCAAUGGGCGCAAGCCUGACCCAGCAACGCCGCGUGAAGGAAGAAGGCUUUCGGGUUGUAAACUUCUUUUGUCAGGGACGAGCAGAAGACGGUACCUGACGAAUAAGCCACGGCUAACUACGUGCCAGCAGCCGCGGUAAUACGUAGGUGGCAAGCGUUGUCCGGAUUUACUGGGUGUAAAGGGCGUGUAGCCGGGAGGGCAAGUCAGAUGUGAAAUCCACGGGCUCAACUCGUGAACUGCAUUUGAAACUACUCUUCUUGAGUAUCGGAGAGGCAAUCGGAAUUCCUAGUGUAGCGGUGAA